rnacentral:tRNA from 1 species
UCUCUGGUAGCUCCGUGGUAAAGAAUCUGCCUGCAAUGCAGGAGACCCAGGUUUGAUCCCUGGAUUGGGAA